GUGUCAGCAGCCGCGGUAAUACGGAGGGUGCAAGCGUUAAUCGGAAUUACUGGGCGUAAAGGGCGCGUAGGCGGUUUGGUAAGCGAGUUGUGAAAGCCCCGGGCUCAACCUGGGAAUGGCAAUUCGAACUGCCAGGCUAGAACGCAGCAGAGGGCAGUGGAAUUCCAGGUGUAGCGGUGAAAUGCGUAGAUAUCUGGAGGAAUACCAGUGGCGAAGGCGGCCUCCUGGACUGACACUGACGCUGAGGUGCGAAAGCGUGGGUAGCAAACAGGAUUAGAAACCCGCGUACUCC
rnacentral:rRNA from 1 species